rnacentral:tRNA from 1 species
GAGUCAAUUAGAGUCGCGUAAAGUGAUUGGUACUGGCUUUUAACCAGUGGGUCGCAGGUUAGACUCCUGCUUGGCUCACCA